GAUGAAGAACGCAGCAAAGUGCGAUAUGUACUGCGCUGUGCGCGAAAUGCGCAGUCAUUCUUCGAAUACACAUUGUCCUGUCUGGCGAACAGCCGGCAGGGCAUCUGCUUCAGGGUUGUUGAUUAGUUUUAGCGCCGCCUCCAGGUGGCGUUCACAAUGGGGGUCACCACCGCGGUGUCCCCCUCCAUUUGUAGUCCUCGUUGCUCUUGCUUCUGUGGACUUGGGUUGUACAGCAGUCUGGUUCAUUGCUUGCAUUGUUCCGCUUCUGGCUUGCUUCUCCCUAACAAUCUCCCUAACCCGACCUGAAGUCAGGUGUGAGUACCCGCUGAACUUAAGCAUAUCAAUAAGCGGAGGA
rnacentral:misc_RNA from 1 species